AGAGUUUGAUCCUCGGGACUCCAGACGAACGCUGGCGGCAUGCCUAACACAUGCAAGUCGAACGAGACCUUCGGGGUCUAGUGGCGCACGGGUGCGUAACGCGUGGGAAUCUGCCCUUGGGUUCGGAAUAACAGUUAGAAAUGACUGCUAAUACCGGAUGAUGUCUUCGGACCAAAGAUUUAUCGCCCAGGGAUGAGCCCGCGUAGGAUUAGCUAGUUGGUGGGGUAAAGGCCUACCAAGGCGACGAUCCUUAGCUGGUCUGAGAGGAUGAUCAGCCACACUGGGACUGAGACACGGCCCAGACUCCUACGGGAGGCAGCAGUGGGGAAUAUUGGACAAUGGGCGAAAGCCUGAUCCAGCAAUGCCGCGUGAGUGAUGAAGGCCUUAGGGUUGUAAAGCUCUUUUACCCGGGAUGAUAAUGACAGUACCGGGAGAAUAAGCCCCGGCUAACUCCGUG
rnacentral:rRNA from 1 species